rnacentral:rRNA from 1 species
AGGCCUCCGUAGGUGAACCUGCGGAGGGAUCAUUACACAAAUAUGAAGGCGGGCUGGAACCUCUCGGGGUUACAGCCUUGCUGAAUUAUUCACCCUUGUCUUUUGCGUACUUCUUGUUUCCUUGGUGGGUUCGCCCACCACUAGGACAAACAUAAACCUUUUGUAAUUGCAAUCAGCGUCAGUAACAAAUUAAUAAUUACAACUUUCAACAACGGAUCUCUUGGUUCUGGCAUCGAUGAAGAACGCAGCGAAAUGCGAUAAGUAGUGUGAAUUGCAGAAUUCAGUGAAUCAUCGAAUCUUUGAACGCACAUUGCGCCCUUUGGUAUUCCAAAGGGCAUGCCUGUUCGAGCGUCAUUUGUACCCUCAAGCUUUGCUUGGUGUUGGGCGUCUUGUCUCUAGCUUUGCUGGAGACUCGCCUUAAAGUAAUUGGCAGCCGGCCUACUGGUUUCGGAGCGCAGCACAAGUCGCACUCUCUAUCAGCAAAGGUCUAGCAUCCAUUAAGCCUUUUUUUCAACUUUUGACCUCGGAUCAGGUAGGGAUACCCGCUGAACUUAA